GCCUCCGUGGCGGAACCCGGCAUACGCGCAGCGCUUAGAACGCUGUCCCCGAAAGGGGUUAGAGGUUCAAAUCCUCUCGGAGGCACUA
rnacentral:tRNA from 3 species